rnacentral:snoRNA from 1 species
GUACACAUUUCAUUGUCUUUUUUUCUUUAUAUCAAGAGAAAAGAAAUUUCUGAUGUGCUAAACAAGCCUUUGGAGAUAAAUUGGCAGCAUGACUAAUUUAGCCAUUGCUGUCAGUGACCUUCAGACAAGU